rnacentral:tRNA from 1 species
GGGUCCGUGGCUCAAUGGUAGAGCGUUCGACUCAAUUUUUAAAGGUCUUGGGUUCGAAUCCCAGGUGGUCCA